ACGCACGCUGGCGGCGUGCUUAACACAUGCCCGUCGAACGGAAAGGCCCUGCUUUUGUGGGGUGCUCGAGUGGCGAACGGGUGAGUAACACGUGAGUAACCUGCCCUUGACUUUGGGAUAACUUCAGGAAACUGGGGCUAAUACCGGAUAGGAGCUCCUGCUGCAUGGUGGGGGUUGGAAAGUUUCGGCGGUUGGGGAUGGACUCGCGGCUUAUCCGCUUGUUGGUGGGGUAGUGGCUUACCAAGGCUUUGACGGGUAGCCGGCCUGAGAGGGUGACCGGCCACAUUGGGACUGAGAUACGGCCCAGACUCCUACGGGAGGCAGCAGUGGGGAAUAUUGCACAAUGGGCGGAAGCCUGAUGCAGCAACGCCGCGUGCGGGAUGACGGCCUUCGGGUUGUAAACCGCUUUCGCCUGUGACGAAGCGUGAGUGACGGUAAUGGGUAAAGAAGCACCGGCUAACUACGUG
rnacentral:rRNA from 1 species